rnacentral:rRNA from 2 species
GAUGAACGCUGGCGGCGUGCUUAACACAUGCAAGUCGAGCGAGAAACUGUUUUUAGAUUCUUCGGAUGAAGAAAGCAGUGGAAAGCGGCGGACGGGUGAGUAACGCGUGGGUAACCUGCCCUAUGCAAGGGGAUAACAACGAGAAAUCGUUGCUAAUACCGUAUAAGCACACAGUAUGGCAUCAUACAGUGUGAAAAACUCCGGUGGCAUAGGAUGGACCCGCGUCUGAUUAGCUAGUUGGUGGGGUAAAAGCUCACCAAGGCGACGAUCAGUAGCCGGCCUGAGAGGGUGGACGGCCACAUUGGGACUGAGACACGGCCCAAACUCCUACGGGAGGCAGCAGUGGGGAAUAUUGCACAAUGGGGGAAACCCUGAUGCAGCGACGCCGCGUGAAGGAAGAAGGUUUUCGGAUCGUAAACUUCUAUCAGCAGGGAAGAAAUUGACGGUACCUGACUAAGAAGCCCCGGCUAACUACG